rnacentral:rRNA from 1 species
CUGCGAAUGGCUCAUUAAAUCAGUUAUCGUUUAUUUGAUAGUACCUUACUACAUGGAUACCUGUGGUAAUUCUAGAGCUAAUACAUGCUAAAAACCCCGACUUCAGGAAGGGGUGUAUUUAUUAGAUAAAAAACCAACGCCCUUCGGGGCUCCUUGGUGAAUCAUAAUAACUUAACGAAUCGCAUGGCCUUGCGCCGGCGAUGGUUCAUUCAAAUUUCUGCCCUAUCAACUUUCGAUGGUAGGAUAGUGGCCUACCAUGGUGGCAACGGGUAACGGGGAAUUAGGGUUCGAUUCCGGAGAGGGAGCCUGAGAAACGGCUACCACAUCCAAGGAAGGCAGCAGGCGCGCAAAUUACCCAAUCCCGAUACGGGGAGGUAGUGACAAUAAAUACUGAUACGGGGCUCUUUUGGGUCUCGUAAUUGGAAUGAGAACAAUUUAAAUCCCUUAACGAGGAACAAUUGGAGGGCAAGUCUGGUGCCAGCAGCCGCGGUAAUUCCAGCUCCAAUAGCGUAUAUUAAAGUUGUUGCAGUUAAAAAGCUCGUAGUUGAACCUUGGGUCUGGCUGGCCGGUCCGCCUCACCGCGAGUACUGGUCCGGCUGGACCUUUCCUUCUGGGGAACCUCAUGGCCUUCACUGGCUGUGGGGGGAACCAGGACUUUUACUGUGAAAAAAUUAGAGUGUUCAAAGCAGGCCUUUGCUCGAAUACAUUAGCAUGGAAUAAUAGAAUAGGACGUGCGGUUCUAUUUUGUUGGUUUCUAGGACCGCCGUAAUGAUUAAUAGGGAUAGUCGGGGGCGUCAGUAUUCAGCUGUCAGAGGUGAAAUUCUUGGAUUUGCUGAAGACUAACUACUGCGAAAGCAUUCGCCAAGGAUGUUUUCAUUAAUCAGGGAACGAAAGUUAGGGGAUCGAAGACGAUCAGAUACCGUCGUAGUCUUAACCAUAAACUAUGCCGACUAGGGAUCGGACGGGAUUCUAUGAUGACCCGUUCGGCACCUUACGAGAAAUCAAAGUUUUUGGGUUCUGGGGGG